CCUACGGGCGGCAGCAGUGAGGAAUAUUGGUCAAUGGUCGGGAGACUGAACCAGCCAAGCCGCGUGAGGGAUGAAGGUACAGAGUAUCGUAAACCUCUUUUGUCAGGGAACAAAGGCGGGGACGCGUCCCCGGAUGAGUGUACCUGAAGAAAAAGCAUCGGCUAACUCCGUGCCAGCAGCCGCGGUAAUACGGAGGAUGCGAGCGUUAUCCGGAUUUAUUGGGUUUAAAGGGUGCGUUGGCGGUCUGUUAAGUCCGCGGGUAAAGGCCGGGGCUCAAACCCGGCCCCGCCGUUGAAACUGGCAGUCUCGAGUUGGAGAGAGGUAUGCGGAAUGCGCGGUGUAGCGGUGAAAUGCAUAGAUAUCGCGAAGAACUCCGAUUGCGAAGGCAGCAUGCCGGCUCCACACUGACGCUGAGGCACGAAAGCGUGGGUAUCGAACAGGAUUAGAUACCCCAGUAGUC
rnacentral:rRNA from 1 species